AGUGAACGCUGGCGGUAGGCCUAACACAUGCAAGUCGAACGGCAGCACAGGAGAGCUUGCUCUCUGGGUGGCGAGUGGCGGACGGGUGAGGAAUACAUCGGAAUCUGCCCAGUCGUGGGGGAUAACGUAGGGAAACUUACGCUAAUACCGCAUACGACCUUCGGGUGAAAGAGGGGGAUCGCAAGACCUCUCGCGAUUGGAUGAGCCGAUGUCGGAUUAGCUAGUUGGCGGGGUAAUGGCCCACCAAGGCGAUGAUCCGUAGCUGGUCUGAGAGGAUGAUCAGCCACACUGGAACUGAGACACGGUCCAGACUCCUACGGGAGGCAGCAGUGGGGAAUAUUGGACAAUGGGCGCAAGCCUGAUCCAGCCAUACCGCGUGGGUGAAGAAGGCCUUCGGGUUGUAAAGCCCUUUUGUUGGGAAAGAAAUCUUUCAGGCUAAUACCCUGGGAGGAUGACGGUACCCAAAGAAUAAGCACCGGCUAACUUCGUG
rnacentral:rRNA from 1 species